rnacentral:lncRNA from 1 species
CCGAAGCUAAAUAUUUCCACACACUUAGUGCCAUCUCAAAUAACCUAGACUAAGUCGGUAUCGCACACUUAGUGCCUCAAGUAGCCGAAGCUAGUUAAAUCGCACACUUAGUACCAAAGCUAGUUUAAAUCGCACACUUAGUGCCAAAACUUCCAUUUCAUCACCAUAUUAUCCAAUUCAGAUAUAUACAACCCAUGUAUAAUAAAGGC